UACAAUCCUUAUAAAUAGACUGAUCCUAAUUACAGUUACAGUUCCGAAAGAUACAUAAUUAAACUUUUUAGUGGAUACAAUUUGCCAUUGCAAUUACAAAGCCUACGGGUACUCGUUUAAAUAACAAACUCCAUAAAGUAGUUGAUACUUACCUGUGAUUUGAAAAGUGCAAAAUGUUCCCCCAUGAAAACAAAUCUUGUUCAGAAAUAAAUAUACAAAACAUCGUUAGCAGCAAAUCGCAUAUUGGAGCAUGAUAUUAAGCAAAACUAAAAAAGAAAGAGAAAAAAGACGAUGGUUAUUUGAUUUUAUUUCAUAAAAAGAGAAUAAUGAUAAAUUUCUAUUCCUAGACUGGUUGUCCAAAAUUAUCGAGAGUUAUUUUGUUAUAAAUAUCCAAUCGAUGUUAUUACCAAAUUAUGUGGCUUUCAAUUAUGGAAUAUAUUUAUCUUUGUCGAUUACUAUAAAGAGCAUCCGAACAAAGGUGAACUUUCAUCGUUUGGUCGGCUUUUUUUUUUUUCCCUAAAUCAUUUGCGUCUGAGAUGAGAAAGAAUUUGAUGAUGUUUUUUUCUUCUUCUGAAUGAAUAAGGUACACAUCUCAUCUUCCGCCACGUGCCCACAAAGGCACACGUGGAAGACAUGCGGCUAAAGGCAUCAAGAUAUGAUAUCACGCGUGGACAGCCAAGAGUCACUUUAUCCUAUCCUUAGAAAGAUUUAAGAUCUACGGCUGGGGAUAGUCAGACUGACGCAGACAAGACUGGGGCAGAGAAAAGCUGU